rnacentral:lncRNA from 1 species
UGAAUCAACGGCACCGAUGGACUCCACACCUCGCGCAGUCGUUCCGUAAAAUCAGAUGACGUGGCAAUUCCGGAAAGGCUCACCGCAGAACGACCGAACCGCAGCCGUUCCUCAAAGGCAGGGGAAUUUUACGUUCUUUAUUCUUAACUCCACGUCGGCGUCCAUGAAGCCGAGGGAAAGCAAAGGCGGGGCAAAUCCGCUGCCGCCUCGGUUUCGUCAUCGGACUUCCCUUUUCCUUCCCAUCAUCAUGGCAAAGUUAUAUUUAUGUUCACCUUCGUGAGCACCAACUCCCGCACCCACCAUCCAAAUGGGCGGCAACAGACGCGCUGUCCAUUUGUUGGCUAAGAGGUGCCAAUCCGGGCGUUGUUCAAAGUUAGGGCCUCUUUUACAUCGAUAUAUUUUGUGAUAGUAUUUUUUAUUCAUAUCGGUGCUCA